CGUGCGCACGCGCCGAAUCCCGCGAGGGAACCGGGGAACCACCACUUGGGGUGAAUCGGGCGUAAGGAGCCGUGUCCGCACGGCUGGUUUACGCGCGUAGGAGACCUUCCUGCUCCGAACCCGUCAGCUAACCCGGUAGGCGAGAAGGAAGGAAAGG
rnacentral:sRNA from 1 species